rnacentral:rRNA from 1 species
AUUGAACGCUGGCGGCAGGCCUAACACAUGCAAGUCGAACGAGUGGCGGACGGGUGAGUAAUGUCUGAGAAACUGCCUGAUGGAGGGGGAUAACUACUGGAAACGGUAGCUAAUACCGCAUACCAUCAGAUGUGCCCAGAUGGGAUUAGCUUGUUGGUGGGGUAACGGCUCACCAAGGCGUGGAUCCCUAGCUGGUCUGAGAGGCUGACCAGCCACACUGGAACUGAGACACGGGCCAGAUCCCACCGGGAGGCAGAGUUGGGAAAUAUUGCACAAUGGGCGCAAUCCUGCGGCAGCCAUGCCGCGUGUAUGCAGAAGGCCUUCGGGUUGUAAAGUACGUUCAGCGGGGAGGCGUUACCCGCAGAAGAAGCACCGGCUAACUCCGUGCCAGCAGCCGCGGUAAUAC